GCGCGGGGAGGCGCCGGGCGUGUGCAGGGCGGCCCGCGCCGAGGACUCCGCGUGUGCGUGCGCGCGUGUGUGUGUGCUUGUGUUUGCGCGUGUUUUUCUUCUCCCCUCGAGGAUGUGAGAAUGGCUUCGCAGCUGGCUACUCCCUGAGGAUUCUUGACUUUGUGGAGCUCUGGGUUGUGAGCAUAAUCCACCCAUAUAAUCCAUUUUGCACGGUCGGUUUGUAUCAGGAGAAAAAAAGAGCAACUGGACGGGGGUGGGGCAGACCAACGCAACCUUCUGGAAAUACACGCGCACACACACGAAAGAGAGGAAGAAUGAAAGACCUGCGAAGAUUUUCAUAACCUUCCUGCUGGCCCUUCCCUUUUCCGGAGAGAUUCUGGAUCUUUUCUACCUUUUGAAGUCAUCUUGGCAUCUAUAUUUGUAAGCUGCUCUUCAGCUAGCUGCGUGUGUGUGCGUGUAUGUGUGCGCGCGCCUAUCUGAUGCAUUUGACUGUCUUUUAUCCAACUGACCAGAAGCAAAUGUGUUAACUCGGCGGUGCCCCUUGGUGCCCGGGUUCUCGCAGAGCGCAGAGGAGCCCGGACCCAUUUUCCCGGCUGGAUUCGGAGCGGCUGCCCGGCUGUGGACCCAAGUGUGUGGAUCGCUUUACGCAGAGGUUUGGAAAGCUCGAGUAUUAACCUGCUUGCCAGGUACAGCACAAGGUCACCAGAGGGUCUUGCAGCUGUCUUGUUUGCGUGCCUCUAGACCUUCCUGUCUUGGCCAGAAGGAUAUUUACGUUUCGGUUCACAUCAUUUGAAGCCAAAAGUUCAGCCCUUCGAACUGUUUCUGUACAAACAAGGUAACAAGGAUUGCUUUUCAAACUGCUUAACAAAAUCUCCGACUCUUCUUCAGCCUUUUCCCAGCUCCCGACCAAAAUGUCAUCAGCUCUUAAAUCACAUGGAUUUGGGUUGGAGGAGAACUUGAAGGAAACGUGAUCAAACGGCUAUGCCAGACCACUCUCUUUGCCACCCGUGGUCCGCUGGGCAUCGAAGCCGCUCUUGAGAAGGACCGGUCCCCUGCUUGCUUCUCCCUCCCUGUGCUGUGCCGGGUGUGCAUGUGCAAGUGUGAAUGCGAGUGCGCGCGCGCCCGGGUGCGAGUGUGUGAGUGUUUGAGUGUGUGUCUGUGUGUGCGUGCGCGGCCGCCCUGCCUCUGCCCGCUCCCCGGGCGCAGAAACGCGGGUUUCAUGGGGCGAUCGCCGCGGAUCCCCCACCCAGCGCAACCUGCGGGCAGCGGCGGCAAUGGCAGGAGCCGCCUCUCGGACUCCCUAGGAUGCGGGUGCUGAGCUAUGGCAAAGGGCAGCGAAGUGACGAGAGAGACCCGCGAACGACUGUGAAAGCCACCUGGAGCCACCUUGCCGGAUUGUACCUGCGGGCAGAAAGUCCUCCUACGACCGUCUUUUCCUCUAGAGGCACCAGUGCAACAUAUUUCCCCUCGUUGAAAAUGAGUGCAUCAGCAUAAAAGCCUCUUGAGCAAGAAAAAUGCAUAUUGAUCACUAACAUUUUGAGUUAAUGAAGAUGACCAAACAGAAACUGAACAGUUGAAACCAGUGGAAUGUUGAAUACCUCUUAGGGCAAUUAAAGAUUCAAGAAGAACAUGUCUCCACCAGAAGUGGAUGAAGGACAACAAAAUUUAAAAAAGAAGUCUGUGGACCAACAGUGGCCAAGCUCACUUCCUUGGCUGAUCUUCAAAUCUAGUAGCCACCAUGAUGUGAGAAGGAUCACGCCACCUUCCUUCCUAUUCGUUCCUUGGUUAUGUACAAGACGGAAUAAAUAUCCUUCUAAAAAUAUUUUGG
rnacentral:lncRNA from 1 species